GUGCUCACUUCGACAGCACAUAUAAUAAAAUUGGAACGAUACAGAGAAGAUUAGCAUAGGCCCUGCACGAGGAUGACAUACAAAUCUGUGAAGCAUUCCAUAUUUUU
rnacentral:snRNA from 1 species